AAUAUGCAUCUGAUCAGGAAAUCAGAAGGUGCUUAUCCAAAUUGAACCGAAAGUCCAUGGAUUCAGGGAGUGAAACUUCCGAUGAAUUUGGCAAGUCUUCUGAAGAUGAGGGUGGUGAUAGUGAAAGUACUUCCUCAGAUACAGAAAGUGACUUGGAUGUCCGAUCAGAAGCUCGAAUUGGGGAGUACAGAGGGGAUGGAUUCUUUAUGGAAGAUGAGGGUUUAGAUUUGAUAACAGACGAGCGUGAAUGGGG
rnacentral:misc_RNA from 1 species